UCAACAUGAAGACAAAUUGAGAAUAAAAAUUUUCCCUCUUCUCUCUCUGUCUCUUGUGUUCCCUCCCAUUUGUUUACUGUCUUUCUUUUUUCUUCUCUGUCUUUUUUCUUAACAAUUUCUUUAAUCUUAAUUGUUAUAAAUAAUUAUCUUCUUCAUCAAUUUCUGUCUAAUCAUCAUCAUUAACAACAACGUUUAUUAUUAUCAAUAAGAAACCUCAUCUUCAAUUCAUCUUUUCGAUUUUCUCUUGAUCACAAGGCAAUGGAAUCGGAAGGAGAUCAAUAACUGAACGUACCAUUGACCCAAGGAAAGACUUUAAAGGUUAACAAAGAGUAAAAUUGUAUCAAUGUUGGCGGAGAAAUUACAACAAAACUGAGUGUUUCAAUUAACUGUUUAAUCUACAUAAAAAAAAACUCCAAAGCAAACAAAUCAGUUGACAACUCACUCAAUUAAAUACUAAAUGGUUCCAAUUCCAAUGGUGAAAGGAAUCAGUGGUUUCAGUGUCUCUCUUUUCCUGUUUAUCGUUACUAGUUAAUCAACUUCCGUGAUAAAAUUUCCUUGUUUACAUUGCAACUGUUCAGCAAUUAUCUGUGUAUUUCCAGUUUACUAAAUUACUUUCCAAUGGUGAUGAUGAUUAAAUUGGAAAAAUUAAUUAAUGAAUUACCUGUUUUGAAUCAAUGCCAAAUCAGUUAUGCAAUUGAAUCACAAUCAAGUGGCAAUCAAAAAAGAUAAACCAGUUUCCCUGAUCAUCUUCAGAUGAAUUUAUUAAGCAACAAGAACAAAGUGAUUACGAAAUUUUAAUUAACUGGACAUUAAAAGGUCAAUAUGGAUUAACAGUUAUUUUAAUUGGAAAAUUUUAAAUUACCCGUUAAACCAAAUUGAAGAUUGGACAGUUUACCAUUUGGAAAAUUAACUGGAACAAUUAACUAUAUUCAAGUAAAUUAACUCUCAAAAUGGUUGAUCAACUAAUUGUUCAUCUUCAAUAGACUUGUUCAAUCAAAAUAUUAAAUUUGAUUGAAUUAUUAUCGACAAUGUUUAACAUGAGGAAAAUACUGAACAACAAUCAACUAAUCAUAUUAAGUAAACAUUUUAUUCAAUCGAUCAAUUUGAUUGUCGCAAUCGUAUUGUUGAUAAAAAAAAACAAGUCAACAUUCAAUGACAACAACAUGAGGAAUCAAAGCUAAGCUCAAUUUAAUCACUCUGAAAAUUAAACUAUCAUGAAAUCAAUUAGCAUACUCAUAA